rnacentral:rRNA from 1 species
AACGAACGCUGGCGGCAUGCCUAACACAUGCAAGUCGAACGACACCUUCGGGUCUAGUGGCGCACGGGUGCGUAACGCGUGGGAACCUGCCUUUAGGUUCGGAAUAACUCAUAGAAAUUUGAGCUAAUACCGGAUGAUUUCUUCUGACCAAAGAUUUAUCGCCUUUGGAUGGGCCCGCGUUGUAUUAGCUUGUUGGUGGGGUAAAGGCCUACCAAGGCGACGAUCCAUAGCUGGUCUGAGAGGAUGAUCAGCCACACUGAGACUGAGAAACGGCCCAGACUCCUACGGGAGGGAGCAGUGGGGAAUAUAGGAAAACGGGCGAAAGGCUGAUCCAGCAAGGCCGGGUGAGUGAUGAAGGCCUGAGAGUAGUAAAGCUCUUUUAACCGAGAUGGUAAUGACGGUAUCGGGAGAAUAAGCACCGGCUAACUCCGUG